rnacentral:rRNA from 2 species
GGGACCAACGAGUGGCGGACGGGUGAGUAACACGUAGGUAACCUGCCCAGAAGCGGGGGACAACAUUUGGAAACAGAUGCUAAUACCGCAUAACAACGUUGUUCGCAUGAACAACGCUUAAAAGAUGGCUUCUCGCUAUCACUUCUGGAUGGACCUGCGGUGCAUUAGCUUGUUGGUGGGGUAAUGGCCUACCAAGGCGAUGAUGCAUAGCCGAGUUGAGAGACUGAUCGGCCACAAUGGGACUGAGACACGGCCCAUACUCCUACGGGAGGCAGCAGUAGGGAAUCUUCCACAAUGGGCGCAAGCCUGAUGGAGCAACACCGCGUGAGUGAAGAAGGGUUUCGGCUCGUAAAGCUCUGUUGUUAAAGAAGAACACGUAUGAGAGUAACUGUUCAUACGUUGACGGUAUUUAACCAGAAAGUCACGGCUAACUACGUGCCAGCAGCCGCGGUAAUACGUAGGUGGCAAGCGUUAUCCGGAUUUAUUGGGCGUAAAGAGAGUGCAGGCGGUUUUCUAAGUCUGAUGUGAAAGCCUUCGGCUUAACCGGAGAAGUGCAUCGGAAACUGGAUAACUUGAGUGCAGAAGAGGGUAGUGGAACUCCAUGUGUAGCGGUGGAAUGCGUAGAUAUAUGGAAGAACACCAGUGGCGAAGGCGGCUACCUGGUCUGCAACUGACGCUGAGACUCGAAAGCAUGGGUAGCGAACAGGAUUAGAUACCCUGGUAGUCCAUGCCGUAAACGAUGAGUGCUAGGUGUUGGAGGGUUUCCGCCCUUCAGUGCCGGAGCUAACGCAUUAAGCACUCCGCCUGGGGAGUACGACCGCAAGGUUGAAACUCAAAGGAAUUGACGGGGGCCCGCACAAGCGGUGGAGCAUGUGGUUUAAUUCGAAGCUACGCGAAGAACCUUACCAGGU